rnacentral:rRNA from 1 species
UACGGGGGGAGCAAGCGUUGUUCGGAUUUACUGGGCGUAAAGGGCGCGUAGGCGGCACCGCAAGUCGACUGUGAAAUCUCCGGGCUUAACUCGGAAAGGUCAGCCGAUACUGCGGGGCUAGAGUGCAGAAGGGGCAACUGGAAUUCUCGGUGUAGCGGUGAAAUGCGUAGAUAUCUGGAGGAACACCGGUGGCGAAGGCGGCGUUCUGGACUGUAACUGACACUGAAAAACGAAAGCCAGGGGAGCAAACGGG